rnacentral:rRNA from 1 species
ACCCCCACACUGGAACUGAGACAAGGACCAGACUUCUACGGAAGGCAGCAGUGAGGAAUAUUGGUCAAUGGAGGAAACUCUGAACCAGCUAUGCCGCGUGUAGGAUGACAGUCUUUUAGAUUGUAAACUACUUUUACAUAGAAAUAAAAGUUACUACGGGGAUGGUAACCUGAAGGUACUAUGCGAAUAAGUGUCGGCUAAUUUCGUGCCAGCAGCCGCGGUAAAACGAAAGACACAAGCGUUAUCCGGAUUUAUUGGGUUUAAAGGGUGUGUAGGUUGUUUAUUAAGUCAGUAGUGAAAGCUUACAGCUUAACUGUAAAAUUGCUAUUGAUACUGAUAAUCUUGAGUCAGAUUGGAGCGUCUGGAAUGUAUGGUGUAGCGGUGAAAUGCAUAGAUAUCAUACAGAACACCAAUAGCGAAGGCAGGAUGCUAAAUCUUCACUGACGCUGAGGCACGAAAGCGUGGGUAGCAAACAGGAUUAGAUACCCUGGUAGUCCACGCCCUAAACUAUGAUCACUAGCUAUUGGAAAAAUUAUAUUCAGUGGCCAAGCUAAAGCGAUAAGUGAUCCACCUGGGAAGUACGAUCGCAAGAUUGAAACUCAAAGGAAUUGACGGGGUUUCGCACAAGCGGUGGAGCAUGUGGUUUAAUUCGAUGAUACGCGAGGAACCUUACCAAGGUUUAAAUGUAUUACGAAUAAGCUGGAAACAACUUAGUCUAUAAGACGUAAUACAAGGUGCUGCAUGGUUGUCUUCAGUUCGUGCUGUGAAGUGUUUGGUUAAGUCCUAUAACGAGCGAAACCCUUAUUGUUAGUUGCCAUCGGGUAAAGCCGGGGACUCUAACAAAACUGCCGGUGUAAAUCGAGAGGAAGGUGGGGAUAAUGUCAA